UACGCAGGGGGCUAGCGUUGUUCGGAAUUACUGGGCGUAAAGGGCGCGUAGGCGGUGUGUCAAGUCAGGCGUGAAAGCCCCGGGCUCAACCUGGGAACCGCGGUUGAGACUGGCACGCUCGAGUUCGGGAGAGGAUGGUGGAAUUCCCAGUGUAGAGGUGAAAUUCGUAGAUAUCGGGAAGAACACCGAUGGCGAAGGCAGCCAUCUGGACCGACACUGACGCUGAGGCGCGAAAGCGUGGGGAGCAAACAGG
rnacentral:rRNA from 1 species